GAAUACCCGCUGAACUUAAGCAUAUCAAUAAGCGGAGGAAAAGAAACCAACAGGGAUUGCCCUAGUAACGGCGAGUGAAGCGGCAACAGCUCAAAUUUGAAAUCUGGCUUCGGCCCGAGUUGUAAUUUGUAGAGGAAGCUUUUGGCGCGGCACCUACUGAGUCCCCUGGAACGGGGCGCCAGAGAGGGUGAGAGCCCCGUAUAGUGGGAUGCCUAGCCUGUGUAAAGCUCCUUCGACGAGUCGAGUAGUUUGGGAAUGCUGCUCAAAAUGGGAGGUAAAUUUCUUCUAAAGCUAAAUAUUGGCCAGAGACCGAUAGCGCACAAGUAGAGUGAUCGAAAGAUGAAAAGCACUUUGAAAAGAGGGUUAAACAGCACGUGAAAUUGUUGAAAGGGAAGCGCUUGUGACCAGACUUGCGCCCGGUUGAUCAUCCGGUGUUCUCACCGGUGCACUCCUCCGGGCUCAGGCCAGCAUCGGUUCUCGCGGGGGGAUAAAGGCCCAGGGAACGUAGCUCUUCCGGGAGUGUUAUAGCCCUGGGCGUCACGCCCUCGCGGGGACCGAGGUUCGCGCAUCUGCAAGGAUGCUGGCGUAAUGGUCAUCAGCGACCCGUCUUGAAACACGGACCAAGGAGUCAAGGUUUUGCGCGAGUGUUUGGGUGUAAAACCCGCACGCGUAAUGAAAGUGAACGUAGGUGAGAGCUUCGGGCGCAUCAUCGACCGAUCCUGAUGUAUUCGGAUGGAUUUGAGUAGGAGCGUUAAGCCUUGGACCCGAAAGAUGGUGAACUAUGCUUGGAUAGGGUGAAGCCAGAGGAAACUCUGGUGGAGGCUCGCAGCGGUUCUGACGUGCAAAUCGAUCGUCAAAUCUGAGCAUGGGGGCGAAAGACUAAUCGAACCAUCUAGUAGCUGGUUACCGCCGAAGUUUCCCUCAGGAUAGCAGUGUUGUUCUUCAGUUUUAUGAGGUAAAGCGAAUGAUUAGGGACUCGGGGGCGCUUUUUAGCCUUCAUCCAUUCUCAAACUUUAAAUAUGUAAGAAGCCCUUGUUACUUAAUUGAACGUGGGCAUUCGAAUGUACCAACACUAGUGGGCCAUUUUUGGUAAGCA
rnacentral:rRNA from 1 species